AGAACGAACGCUGGCGGCAUGCCUAAUACAUGCAAGUCGAACGAACUCUUCGGAGUUAGUGGCGCACGGGUGCGUAACGCGUGGGAAUCUGCCCCUUGGUUCGGAAUAACAGUUGGAAACGACUGCUAAUACCGGAUGAUGACGAAAGUCCAAAGAUUUAUCGCCAAGGGAUGAGCCCGCGUAGGAUUAGCUAGUUGGUGAGGUAAAGGCUCACCAAGGCAACGAUCCUUAGCUGGUCUGAGAGGAUGAUCAGCCACACUGGGACUGAGACACGGCCCAGACUCCUACGGGAGGCAGCAGUAGGGAAUAGUGGACAGUGGGACAAAGCCUGAUCCAGCAAUCGCCGCGUGAGUGAUGAAGGUCGUUAGGUAGUAAAGCUUACUUUACCGAGAUGAUAAU
rnacentral:rRNA from 1 species